UUAUCCUGCGCCAUGAAUAGUGGAACAGGACGUUCAGAAAACGAGUGCAUGCUUUUAGUUAAAGUAAAACGGCGCAGACUUACCUGUUUUGAAGAAUCCAUCUUGAGAUAGUGACCAAAGAGCAGACACAGACCUGCCAGGCCGGUUCACGGUGGCUGCGGACGUUUGAAAUUCAGAUCAUCUGUUCUGUGUCAACAGAGGGCAAGAGGUGCAUGGACGGCAUCCUUGGUGGUUCCAAUUUCCAGCCCAUUCCCCAAUUUUCAACCCCAAUGACAGACAACACACGCUUCAAUGGCUGUUCAGCUAAAGGAGGGAAUUGAAGCGGACCGUAAAAUGAUGGACUGCUGGUUUCCUGUGGUGUUGAUGCAAGCUGGCACGCACAGUUAUGGUUUAACAUACACUUCAUAAUGUAUUGAUACAUAUAUAUUAUCACAUUUACAUUGUUUGGGAAUUUGGUAUAUAGAAGGAAAAUAAAACAUUCCAACCUUGAUCAAA